GUUGAAAGUCUAAGGAAAACAAGAGAAAGAAGUAAAUAACAAAUUCAAAGUUUCGUAUAGAGUUUCAGAAAAUGAAUCGUUUCUUCUUCGUCUUCGUUCUCUCCUGCCUUCUACUGUUUGGAGAAAUUAAUAAAUUAAAAGGAGAACCGCAAGAGUAUUGGAGGAAGGUGAUGGGAGAAGAACCUUUGCCGGAACCGAUCAAAGAGUUCAUGAACAAUCCGUUUAGGACAAAACAGAAGAAGUUCAUCAACAACUUCGAUACCAAAUCCACCGUACUAAUAUACCACAAGACUUAAUGGAUCAACCAUGAAAUCAUAUAUACACUCUCUCUCAAGAACUCUUGAUUAGGUCAAUUUGGAGAGUUUUGGAGUGUCAUUAAUUUGUGUUGAUAAUGUAUUAUAUAGGAUUUUAAUUUAUCGUUCUUUGUGGUGUUCUUUUUUUUAAGGGAUUUUAUAGAAAUAUGAAUUUGGUUGGUGUGUUACUUUAUGUAAGCUCUCUUUGCUUUGUAAGCAAUGAUGUGUUGUUGAAGAUUGUUAUACUCAAAAUCUUAA